rnacentral:rRNA from 1 species
UAGGGAAUCUUCGGCAAUGGGGGCAACCCUGACCGAGCAACGCCGCGUGAGUGAAGAAGGUUUUCGGAUCGUAAAGCUCUGUUGUAAGAGAAGAACGUGUGUGAGAGUGGAAAGUUCACACAGUGACGGUAACUUACCAGAAAGGGACGGCUAACUACGUGCCAGCAGCCGCGGUAAUACGUAGGUCCCGAGCGUUGUCCGGAUUUAUUGGGCGUAAAGCGAGCGCAGGCGGUUUAAUAAGUCUGAAGUUAAAGGCAGUGGCUUAACCAUUGUUCGCUUUGGAAACUGUUAAGCUUGAGUGCAGAAGGGGAGAGUGGAAUUCCAUGUGUAGCGGUGAAAUGCGUAGAUAUAUGGAGGAACACCGGUGGCGAAGGCGGCUCUCUGGUCUGUAACUGACGCUGAGGCUCGAAAGCGUGGGGAGCAAACAGG